rnacentral:rRNA from 1 species
AGAGUUUGAUCCUGGCUCAGGACGAACGCUGGCGGCGUGCCUAAUACAUGCAAGUCGAGCGAGCUUGCCUAGAUGAUUUUAGUGCUUGCACUAAAUGAAACUAGAUACAAGCUAGCGGCGGACGGGUGAGUAACACGUGGGUAACCUGCCCAAGAGACUGGGAUAACACCUGGAAACAGAUGCUAAUACCGGAUAACAACACUAGACGCAUGUCUAGAGUUUAAAAGAUGGUUCUGCUAUCACUCUUGGAUGGACCUGCGGUGCAUUAGCUAGUUGGUAAGGUAACGGCUUACCAAGGCAAUGAUGCAUAGCCGAGUUGAGAGACUGAUCGGCCACAUUGGGACUGAGACACGGCCCAAACUCCUACGGGAGACAGCAGUUAGGAAUAUUCGUCAAUGGGGGAAACCCUGAACGAGCAAUGCCGCGUGAACGAUGACGGUCCUCUGGAUUGUAAAGUUCUGUUGUUUGGGAAGAACGGCUCUAAUAGGAAAUGAUUAGAGAUUGACUGUACCAUUCAAGAAAGCCCACGGCUAACUACGUGCCAGCAGCCGCGGUAAUACGUAGGUGGCGAGCGUUAUCCGGAUUUAUUGGGCGUACAGCGUCCGCAGCCGGUUUAUUAAGUAUAGAAUAAAACUUCGGGGCUCAACCCCGUCUCGUUCUAUAAACUGAUAGACUAGAGUGUGGUAGAGGCAAGUGGAAUUUCUAGUGUAGCGGU